rnacentral:lncRNA from 1 species
CCGUGCACUUCCUUUUUCUGGUUGUUGUUCACUCUGAGGAGCUGCCAGACGGGGUGACAAGCCAAGGGCUUUUCGUCUUGUGGGAGCACUUGCCACACCUUGCGUGAGAACAUUUCUCAGAUCCAGCUCAUGGUUCCUGGAAUCUCAACUGCUAUGGGAAACAGGUGCCUGUCCCUGCUCUUAGGUCUCAGUGUCCUGCUGGCUCUGUCAGGAUCAGAAGCAAAGAAUUCCGGAGGUGAGUUUACUCGUUGUGAGUUGGGAUGUGGAACCUGCCUCCAGGGGAGAGCAGGAGCCCUUCUGGAGAGAACACCCAACCUCUGCUACUCUCUGCCAAUUCCUUGGGGCGCCCAAGCACUGUUACCCUUUCUUCAUCAUCAAUGUCACCACCCCCAUUUAUUAGCUCUUGCAUUGCACUGGGAUCAGUGCUGAGCAAAUUACAUGCACCAUUGCAUUAAAUCGUACUGACGUUCCUUCAAAGGAGGUUCUGACGUUAACCCCGCUGGAC